rnacentral:rRNA from 1 species
AUUGAACGCUGGCGGCAGGCCUAACACAUGCAAGUCGAGCGGAGCGGCGGACGGGUGAGUAAUGCCUAGGAAUCUGCCUGGUAGGGGGGGAUAACGUCCGGAAACGGGCGCUAAUACCGCAUACUAUCAAAUGAGCCUAGGUCGGAUUAGCUAGUUGGUGGGGUAAAGGCAUAGCAAGGCGACGAUCCGUAACGGGUCUGAGAGGAUGAUCAGUCACACUGAAACUGAGACACGGUCCAGACUCCUACGGUAGGCAGCAGUGGGGAAUAUUUGACAAUGGACGAAAGCCUGAUCCAGCCAUGCCGCGUGUGUGAAGAAGGGCUUCAGAUUGUAAAGCACUUUAAGUUGGGAGGCGUGACCAACAGAAUAAGCACCGGCUAACUUCGUGCCAGCCGCCGCGGUAAUUC